UACAGAGGUCUCAAGCGUUGUUCGGAUUCAUUGGGCGUAAAGGGUGCGUAGGCGGCGCGGUAAGUCGGGUGUGAAAUCUCGGAGCUUAACUCCGAAACUGCAUUCGAUACUGCGGUGCUUGAGGACUGGAGAGGAGACUGGAAUUCAUGGUGUAGCAGUGAAAUGCGUAGAGAUCGUGAGGAACACCAGAGGCGAAGGCGACUACCUGGACAAUUGCUGACACUCAGGCACGAAAGCAUGGGGAGCAAAAGGG
rnacentral:rRNA from 1 species